ACUUCAGAUACAGUAUUAGGGGACCACUAAGAUCUAUAUAAAAGCAUCCAAAGAGCACCAUGUCAUGGGACCUUUAACAAAUGCAUGUAAACGCAAUGUUGUGUUCAACAACAAAACCCAGAUAUUCAUCCACGUAUCCAAGUCCCAUAUCAAAAUAUAACUGCAUUAAAUCAAGUGGCCCACAGCAUCAACAAGAACAAAUGAAAUGAAGGCUGUUAAUGUAGUCAUCUGACGACACAAAUACACAACAGGAACAAUUUAUCAAAAUGUUCCUCUGACAUCUAGUGGACUCCUGAUAUAGCCGAUGCAACAAAUGCAACUUUUCCACUGUAUGCAACUUUUCCACUGUUUUUCAGACCAAAGAGGGUUUAGAAAAACCUUAUCUUCUCAAUCAGUUCUCAUUUAGUCCGAGUUUUCUCCACAAGUGGGGAUGUGUCUUGUUUUGGAAUAAAACUGUUAAUUUCUCCCUGAUGCUAAUGUACUGUGACAACACAAGGACUGUUGUUGCCGGAUGGGGCUAUUUGUUACUGAGGUUUUUGUUUGUGUGGCUGUGUCCGUGUGUGAGUUUUAAGAGGGGUGUGUCUAAGUGUUGGAACGUAAAAAAAAACAACUAAAGAAAAGCAGAGAAGAUGAAGAAAAUAGUUAAAGACUUUUCCUCUGCUUUGAAGAACUCUGGAACUUGACCUAUACAGACUUUCUCCAGGAUGAUCUGUUCACUGUAAAUAGUAUGCAACUGUACUUAUCUUAAGCAUUUCAGGUUUGUGAUUGAUUGUUUUGGAUUCAUUUGCUGAUAAUUUCAAAGGUCACACAAGUGCCUGUUUAAACUAAAGCAGGAGGAACUACACUCAAAUCUGAAUUUGUCUUAUCAAUGCCACUCUUGUUCCAGAAUCUGGAAGGUGCUCCCAUGAUCCCUUUAUGUACUUUUGCACUGCAGAAUCUGUCCAGCUACGCAAGUCAUUCAAGCUAAACUCAAAAAUGGUUUUCUUGUAACAUAUCACAUUAGUUUAAAAGCGAAGGCAGAUGUCGUAACAUCCCUGCAGCUGUGGUUUUCUGCAUAAGCCCCGUGAACUCGUUGCAAGGUGCCAGAGAUCUGCCUCUCAGAUUGGACGCUGUUCACUCCUGAAAAGCAUCAAUUUUAUCACAUUUGCUCUCUAAAUCAAGGCGCCCCAGUGCUGUAGCUUGACUAGUGCUUAGCCAAAUUGAAAGCGAUGAAUGUCAAAACUAAUACGGCUACAAGACACUGGAGAGAUGAAAUCUUUGCUGCAAUAUGAUGUGGAUUGGCCAAAAUCUAACUUCCAUGUCUGAUUAUUUAGUCCAUAAACAGUUUGACAAUUAAUUAUCUAGAAAAUAUAUUAUAUUGCUAAAUAAAACUACAUUUCACCCACUCUUAAUUGGAGCCAGGAACUUGGUUAAAAAUGUUGUUUCAGAGUCACUAAAAAACUGGUUGCUAUUAAAAAGUCACCUACUUAAUGUACUUCAAUAUUAUUUUUCGUAAUGUUUGGAGAGUUCUGAGAAAAAGCAAGAAAAACCUGCAUACCAGGAUAUAAAUAAUCAGUCCUUGUUUGCUACGCUACACUGUCUCCCUUUGCCAGACUCUCCUCCAAAGUAAGCCGAGGGGGUCUUGAUACCCCUGCACUAGCUACUAUAGUCUAGCUAGCUGUCUGGAUUUACCCUGCAGAGAUCUGAGGAGCAGUUAACCAUAGUCCUCAGAAAUCCAUUGGAGUUUAAAAUGUAGACACAAAGGAAGCCCAAGGCAACGGAUAUCCGGCCUAAAUGAGUAAAAUCCGGCGGAUUUUACGGAGCAAUCGCGGAAGUGAAACGUCAAGGAUAUAGACUACCUCUACGUUACUGCUUUCCCACACCUGUAAGCACUUAAAAAUGCACAAAAGCCUCAAAGUACAAGUGAAAGACAAGGUCAUUUUGGUCAAAACCUCCCAGAUGAAGCAUGUUAUUGUCUGAUAUACAUGGCUUUUAAACAGUACGCAAUGACCCUUUAAGUAAGUCAAACUGCAAUGAUUGAAACGUUACGAGAUGUUAAUGCUGGAUUUCAUCAGAUUUCAGUUUGGAUGACUUGCUCAGCUGCACCUUUUGCAGCGUAACAUUCCUACAACACUUCACUGGAGCUCCGCAGGCGGCAGAUCCCUCCAAAGAUGCGUGUGCAGGUUCCUUCCACAGUGCCUUGUUGUAUAUUAUGUACACUUAUUUUGUUUUCCAACUGUGGUUUCUUUUUGGUAUAAUGUGCAAUGUUAUAUAAAUAUAUAUACUGUAUAUGAUAUAAUCACGCGGCUGUACAUUUUAUACUGUAAGUCUUUGCCUGAUGAUCACAUGGAGAUUUUUUCAAGAUUAAAAAUCUUGUUUUUGUAUUUUUCUCUACGCAGCAUCUGUUGUAUACUAUUGUUGUAUCUUGUUUCUUUUAAAUCUGCAUUAGCUGUGUUAUGUAUUGAAAGGGUGAUUCUAACAAUAAAUGAUUAUACAUUUGGUCUGAAA